GCUGGGCAUGAUGGCUCAUGCCUGUAAUCCCAGCACUUUGGGAGGCCGAGGUGGGUGGAUCACCUGAGGUCGGGAGUUCGAGACCAGCCUGACCCACAUGGAGAAACCCCAUCUCUA
ensembl:misc_RNA Metazoa_SRP Metazoan signal recognition particle RNA